rnacentral:rRNA from 1 species
UACGUAGGGUGCAAGCGUUGUCCGGAUUUAUUGGGCGUAAAGAGCGUGUAGGCGGCCAGGGAGGUCCGUUGUGAAAACUCGAGGCUCAACCUCGAGACGCCGAUGGAAACCCCCUGGCUAGAGUCCGGAAGAGGAGAAUGGAAUUCCUGGUGUAGCGGUGAAAUGCGCAGAUAUCAGGAAGAACACCCGUGGCUAAGGCGGUUCUCUAGUACGGUACUGACGCUGAGACGCGAAAGCGUGGGGAGCGAACAGG